UGCCCAGCAACUCCUAUCCCUACCUCCACGCGGUACCGGCCGGAAACUAUGAGCAACCUUAGGGAAGA
rfam:Aedes albopictus isolate Foshan contig7446, whole genome shotgun sequence.